rnacentral:piRNA from 1 species
UGCAGCCAGCUUUGGAAAUGCCCAGCCUU